GAUGAACGCUGGCGGCGUGCCUAAUACAUGCAAGUCGAGCGAACAGACGAGAAGCUUGCUCCUCUGACGUUAGCGGCGGACGGGUGAGUAACACGUGGAUAACCUACCUAUAAGACUGGGAUAACUUCGGGAAACCGGAGCUAAUACCGGAUAACAUUUUGAACCGCAUGGUUCAACAGUGAAAGACGGUCUUGCUGUCACUUAUAGAUGGAUCCGCGCCGCAUUAGCUAGUUGGUAAGGUAACGGCUUACCAAGGCAACGAUGCGUAGCCGACCUGAGAGGGUGAUCGGCCACACUGGAACUGAGACACGGUCCAGACUCCUACGGGAGGCAGCAGUAGGGAAUCUUCCGCAAUGGGCGAAAGCCUGACGGAGCAACGCCGCGUGAGUGAAGAAGGUCUUCGGAUCGUAAAACUCUGUUAUUAGGGAAGAACAAAUGUGUAAGUAACUAUGCACGUCUUGACGGUACCUAAUCAGAAAGCCACGGCUAACUACGUG
rnacentral:rRNA from 1 species